AGAGUUUGAUCCUGGCUCAGAACGAACGCUGGCGGCAUGCCUAACACAUGCAAGUCGAACGAUCCCUUCGGGGAUAGUGGCGCACGGGUGCGUAACGCGUGGGAACCUGCCCUUAGGUUCGGAAUAACUCCCCGAAAGGGGUGCUAAUACCGGAUAAUGUCUUCGGACCAAAGAUUUAUCGCCUUUGGAUGGGCCCGCGUUGGAUUAGCUAGUUGGUGGGGUAAAGGCCUACCAAGGCGACGAUCCAUAGCUGGUCUUAGAGGAUGAUCAGCCACACUGGGACUGAGACACGGCCCAGACUCCUACGGGAGGCAGCAGUGGGGAAUAUUGGACAAUGGGCGAAAGCCUGAUCCAGCAAUGCCGCGUGAGUGAUGAAGGCCCUAGGGUUGUAAAGCUCUUUUA
rnacentral:rRNA from 1 species